rnacentral:rRNA from 1 species
AUUGAAUGCUGGCGGCAGGCCUAACACAUGCAAGUCGAGCGGAUGAAGGGAGCUUGCUCCUGGAUUCAGCGGCGGACGGGUGAGUAAUGCCUAGGAAUCUGCCUGGUAGUGGGGGAUAACGUCCGGAAACGGGCGCUAAUACCGCAUACGUCCUGAGGGAGAAAGUGGGGGAUCUUCGGACCUCACGCUAUCAGAUGAGCCUAGGUCGGAUUAGCUAGUUGGUGGGGUAAAGGCCUACCAAGGCGACGAUCCGUAACUGGUCUGAGAGGAUGAUCAGUCACAGUGGAACUGAGACGCGGGCCAGACUCCUACGGGAGGCAGCAGUGGGGAAUAUUGGACAAGGGGCGGAAGCCUGAUCCAGCCAUGCCGCGUGUGUGAAGAAGGUCUUCGGAUUGUAAAGCACUUUAAGUUGGGAGGAAGGGCAGUAAGUUAAUACCUUGCUGUUUUGACGUUACCAACAGAAUAAGCACCGGCUAACUUCGUG